GCCUUCGUGGUGUAAUGAUCAACACACUCCGCGCGUAUUCCAGGGGUUCGAGGUUCGAGUCCCGGCGAGGGCA
rnacentral:tRNA from 1 species